rnacentral:rRNA from 1 species
AGUGAACGCUGGCGGUAGGCCUAACACAUGCAAGUCGAACGGCAGCACAGUAAGAGCUUGCUCUUACGGGUGGCGAGUGGCGGACGGGUGAGGAAUACAUCGGAAUCUACUUUUUCGUGGGGGAUAACGUAGGGAAACUUACGCUAAUACCGCAUACGACCUACGGGUGAAAGCAGGGGAUCUUCGGACCUUGCGCGAUUGAAUGAGCCGAUGUCGGAUUAGCUAGUUGGCGGGGUAAAGGCCCACCAAGGCGACGAUCCGUAGCUGGUCUGAGAGGAUGAUCAGCCACACUGGAACUGAGGCACGGCCCAGACUCCUACGGGAGGCAGCAGUGGGGAAUAUUGGACAAUGGGCGAAAGCCUGAUCCAGCAAUACCGCGUGGGUGAAGAAGGCCUUCGGGUGGUAAAGCCCUUUUGUUGGGAAAGAAAAGCAGCAGGUUAAUACCCCGCUGUUCUGACGGUACCCAAAGAAUAAGCACCGGCUAACUUCGUG